rnacentral:misc_RNA from 1 species
AUUGGCACUGGGCGAAAGGGCGCGUGAUGAAGGGAAUUCCGAUGACGUUGGUGGCGGAAUCGUGAGUCCCUGGCCAUAUGAUUUGGUUCACGCGUGUUCUUUCGGAGCCGAGAUUUGACAUCCAGUUCUUUCUAUCCGGUGGCCGGUAAUCGGAACCCGGAAAAUCCUGGCCGGCGUUCUGCCGGAGGUCCUCCAGAGCUUUCUUCUCCGUGCGAAUGGAUUUCCGUCGUUCGACCUGUUUCGAUACCUGGGAACCCAUUUUCCGAACCACCGAUGAAUCCUUGUUCUUCGAGACAGAGAU